GAUGAACGCUGGUGGCGUGCCUAAUACAUGCGAGUCGAGCGAACAGAUGAGGAGCUUGCUCCUCUGACGUUAGCGGCGGACGGGUGAGUAACACGUGGAUAACCUACCUAUAAGACUGGGAUAACUUCGGGAAACCGGAGCUAAUACCGGAUAAUAUAUUGAACCGCAUGGUUCAAUAGUGAAAGACGGUUUUGCUGUCACUUAUAGAUGGAUCCGCGCCGCAUUAGCUAGUUGGUAAGGUAACGGCUUACCAAGGCAACGAUGCGUAGCCGACCUGAGAGGGUGAUCGGCCACACUGGAACUGAGACACGGUCCAGACUCCUACGGGAGGCAGCAGUAGGGAAUCUUCCGCAAUGGGCGAAAGCCUGACGGAGCAACGCCGCGUGAGUGAUGAAGGUCUUCGGAUCGUAAAACUCUGUUAUUAGGGAAGAACAAAUGUGUAAGUAACUAUGCACGUCUUGACGGUACCUAAUCAGAAAGCCACGGCUAACUACGUG
rnacentral:rRNA from 1 species